UUUUCUGUACAGUAAGAACACCAAACUGUGCAUCAUCCUUUCUGAAUCCAUUUGAAUUGAGUAUUGACAUAUCAGAGGAAUCUGGCACUUUAAAAGGAGAUGAUGAUGAAACAUACUAUCCAAGUUUCAACUUCCACUCAAUUAGAAGAGGAUAAGAAAUCCAGAUUUGAAAAUUGACUCCUAUUCAGAGUGACAUGAACAUAUUUCAAAACUAUAUGACAGUGUCUAUACAAUAUUAAAUUUGCUGUAGGUAGACUGUAGUAAUAUUUUUCUGCUACCAAAGUUUUAAACACAUCAUUGACAUUACUUUAUAGACUGGGCAUAUUUCUUGUAAUUCAAUACAUAGUUUUCAUAUAACAGUAGAAGACAUCAAAGCAUCCAAUUGCCAUGUGUUGAAAAUAAAUGUUUUCUCCAAGUAGAAUAUCUAUUGAUCUUAUUACUUAUAAUCUGACAAAUUAUUUUAGGGGCGAGAUCAAAUAUCCAAUGUUUG